rnacentral:rRNA from 1 species
UACGUAGGGUGCAAGCGUUGUCCGGAUUUAUUGGGCGUAAAGAGCUCGUAGGCGGUUUGUCGCGUCUGCUGUGAAAGCCCGCGGCUCAACCUCGGGUCUGCAGUGGGUACGGGCAGACUAGAGUGCGGUAGGGGAGAUUGGAAUUCCUGGUGUAGCGGUGGAAUGCGCAGAUAUCAGGAGGAACACCGAUGGCGAAGGCAGAUCUCUGGGCCGUUACUGACGCUGAGGAGCGAAAGCAUGGGGAGCGAACAGG